UACGGAGGGUGCGAGCGUUAUCCGGAAUUACUGGGUUUAAAGCGUGCGCAGGCGGUUUUGUAAGUCUGGGGUGAAAUCCCCGGGCUCAACCUGGGAAUUGCGUUGGAGACUGCAAGGCUGGAGUCUGGCAGAGGGGGGUAGAAUUCCACGUGUAGCAGUGAAAUGCGUAGAGAUGUGGAGGAACACCGAUGGCGAAGGCAGCCCCCUGGGUCAAGACUGACGCUCAUGCACGAAAGCGUGGGGAGCAAACAGG
rnacentral:rRNA from 1 species